AGGACGAACGCUGGCGGCGUGCUUAACACAUGCAAGUCGUACGAUGAUGCCGCAACUUGUUGUGGUGGAUUAGUGGCGAACGGGUGAGUAACACGUGAGUAACCUGCCUUUCACUCUGGGAUAAGCCUUGGAAACGAGGUCUAAUACUGGAUAUGACUCCUUGCCGCAUGGUGGGGGUGGAAAGCCUUCGGGUGGUGGAUGAUGGACUCGCGGACUAUCAGCUUGUUGGUGGGGUUGUGGCCUACCAAGGCUUUGACGGUUAGCCGGCCUGAGAGGGUGAUCGGCCACAUUGGGACUGAGAUACGGCCCAGACUCCUACGGGAGGCAGCAGUGGGGAAUAUUGCACAAUGGGCGAAAGCCUGAUGCAGCGACGCCGCGUGGGGGAUGAAGGCCUUCGGGUUGUAACUCCUUUCGCUCGUGACGAAGCCUUCGGGUGACGGUAGCGAGAGAGAAGCACCGGCUAACUACGUGCCAGCAGCCGCGGUAA
rnacentral:rRNA from 1 species